rnacentral:rRNA from 1 species
AUACGGAGGGUCCGAGCGUUAUCCGGAUUUAUUGGGUUUAAAGGGUGCGCAGGCGGCCAUUUAAGUCAGCGGUUAAAUCGUGGGGCUCAACCCCAUUCUGCCGUUGAUACUGGGUGGCUUGAUUGCGGUCGAGGUUGGCGGAAUUCGUUGUGUAGCGGUGAAAUGCAUAGAUAUGACGAAGAACACCGAUUGCGUAGGCAGCUGACCAGACCGCAAAUGACGCUCAUGCACGAAAGUGCGGGGAUCGAACAGGAUUAGAUACCCUUGUAGUCCGCACAGUAAACGAUGAAUACUUGUUUUCGGCGAUAUAAUGUCGGAGGCAAAGCGAAAGCGAUAAGUAUUCCACCUGGGGAGUACGCCGGCAACGGUGAAACUCAAAGGAAUUGACGGGG